rnacentral:rRNA from 1 species
AGAGUUUGAUCCUGGCUCAGGAUGAACGCUGGCGGCGUGCCUAAUACAUGCAAGUCGAGCGAACGGACGAGAAGCUUGCUUCUCUGAUGUUAGCGGCGGACGGGUGAGUAACACGUGGAUAACCUACCUAUAAGACUGGGAUAACUUCGGGAAACCGGAGCUAAUACCGGAUAAUAUUUUGAACCGCAUGGUUCAAAAGUGAAAGACGGUCUUGCUGUCACUUAUAGAUGGAUCCGCGCUGCAUUAGCUAGUUGGUAAGGUAACGGCUUACCAAGGCAACGAUGCAUAGCCGACCUGAGAGGGUGAUCGGCCACACUGGAACUGAGACACGGUCCAGACUCCUACGGGAGGCAGCAGUAGGGAAUCUUCCGCAAUGGGCGAAAGCCUGACGGAGCAACGCCGCGUGAGUGAUGAAGGUCUUCGGAUCGUAAAACUCUGUUAUUAGGGAAGAACAUAUGUGUAAGUAACUGUGCACAUCUUGACGGUACCUAAUCAGAAAGCCACGGCUAACUACGUGCCAGCAGCCGCGGUAAUACGUAGGUGGCAAGCGUUAUCCGGAAUUAUUGGGCGUAAAGCGCGCGUAGGCGGUUUUUUAAGUCUGAUGUGAAAGCCCACGGCUCAACCGUGGAGGGUCAUUGGAAACUGGAAAACUUGAGUGCAGAAGAGGAAAGUGGAAUUCCAUGUGUAGCGGUGAAAUGCGCAGAGAUAUGGAGGAACACCAGUGGCGAAGGCGACUUUCUGGUCUGUAACUGACGCUGAUGUGCGAAAGCGUGGGGAUCAAACAGGAUUAGAUACCCUGGUAGUCCACGCCGUAAACGAUGAGUGCUAAGUGUUAGGGGGUUUCCGCCCCUUAGUGCUGCAGCUAACGCAUUAAGCACUCCGCCUGGGGAGUACGACCGCAAGGUUGAAACUCAAAGGAAUUGACGGGGACCCGCACAAGCGGUGGAGCAUGUGGUUUAAUUCGAAGCAACGCGAAGAACCUUACCAAAUCUUGACAUCCUUUGACAACUCUAGAGAUAGAGCCUUCCCCUUCGGGGGACAAAGUGACAGGUGGUGCAUGGUUGUCGUCAGCUCGUGUCGUGAGAUGUUGGGUUAAGUCCCGCAACGAGCGCAACCCUUAAGCUUAGUUGCCAUCAUUAAGUUGGGCACUCUAAGUUGACUGCCGGUGACAAACCGGAGGAAGGUGGGGAUGACGUCAAAUCAUCAUGCCCCUUAUGAUUUGGGCUACACACGUGCUACAAUGGACAAUACAAAGGGCAGCGAAACCGCGAGGUCAAGCAAAUCCCAUAAAGUUGUUCUCAGUUCGGAUUGUAGUCUGCAACUCGACUACAUGAAGCUGGAAUCGCUAGUAAUCGUAGAUCAGCAUGCUACGGUGAAUACGUUCCCGGGUCUUGUACACACCGCCCGUCACACCACGAGAGUUUGUAACACCCGAAGCCGGUGGAGUAACCUUUUAGGAGCUAGCCGUCGAGGGUGGGACAAAUGUUGGGGGUGAAGUCGUAACAAGGUAGCCGUAUCGGAAGGGGCGGCUG